UGUCCUGCAGGGAGAAGUAGCUCUUGGGGACUGAUGCACGUCUCUGCAAUUCAGAAGAUGAUAACAACCACACAUUGUGAAGUGACAGAACCAGAGAAUCUUCAAACUCUGCCAUUGGAACACAGAAGUAUUCAUAUCACGGAGUGUCCCACUCAGAGCGGAAAAAAUGAGAAAUUACUUCCUUGUCUUUACUCACUUUGAAACCCACUGCAGAAUCCAUGUGAUAUCUCAUUGAGGAUGCUUAUCUGUUCCCAGUGUUGGAUGUGUUAAGUGCCUCACUGGAUCUAGAACUUCUCAUCUUUUCCAAAGUUUUACAGGCAGUGGAGUGCUGGUAAACACCAAAUGCCUGGCUCUGGGGAUUUUCAAGCAGUUACAGAUUUCCAUACAAUAAAUGUUUCCAGAACCUUCAUUCCACAUCUCCAAGGAAAGUCCUGCCACAGUCUCUGCAUAGCUGAAGGGAUAAACGGUAGCAGAUAUGAAGAUGUGCCGCUUGGAACCCUGCUGCCUGGCCGGAGUACUGCCAUCCACACCCCUCCUUCGUUCUGACGUUCUCUGUUCACGUUAACUUCCUGCCAAGGAGGGAGCAAAUGGGCGCGGUGAGUCUAUUCCAGAGAAGGGAAGUGCAAUGGUUUGAACAGCAU